rnacentral:rRNA from 1 species
UACGUAGGGUGCGAGCGUUAAUCGGAAUUACUGGGCGUAAAGCGUGCGUAGGCGGUUCGUUAUGUCUGCUGUGAAAGCCCCGGGCUUAACCUGGGAAUGGCAGUGGAAACUGGCGGGCUUGAGUGUGGCAGAGGGGGGUGGAAUUCCGCGUGUAGCAGUGAAAUGCGUAGAGAUGCGGAGGAACACCGAUGGCGAAGGCAGCCCCCUGGGCCAAAACUGACGCUCAGGCACGAAAGCGUGGGGAGCAAACAGG